UCCCUAAUAGCUCAGUGGAAGAGCGAAUGGCUGUUAACCAUUUCGUCGUUGGUUCAAAUCCAGCUUAGGGAG
rnacentral:tRNA from 1 species